rnacentral:rRNA from 1 species
UACGGGGGGAGCAAGCGUUGUUCGGAUUUACUGGGCGUAAAGGGCGCGUAGGCGGCGCGGUAAGUCACUUGUGAAAUCUCUGAGCUUAACUCAGAACGGCCAAGUGAUACUGCAGUGCUAGAGUGCAGAAAGGGCAAUCGGAAUUCUUGGUGUAGCGGUGAAAUGCGUAGAUAUCAAGAGGAACACCAGUGGCGAAGGCGGCUCGCUGGGCCGGACCUGACGCUGAGACGCGAAGGCGUGGGGAGCGAACGGG